AUGGAUUACGAUACCAGUUACACAUUAAAGAAAUGUGUGUAACAUCACUAAUAAUCCAAAUAGAAACAGUCCUUCUGAAGACUUUCUUUUGUUAAGUUUUGAAAGAAAGACAGAUAUGGGGACUACAAUA